rnacentral:lncRNA from 1 species
AACCAUAAACAUGUUUAUGCAACACAAAUAAUUUAAUAUAAUUAUUGCAAAUGUACUUACCAUAAUGAUUGUUUUACGAUCUCAGCCUGUUGUCUUGUUUCAAUUUCUCUUUGUGGGUUGUUCAUGCAAAGAACAGGAAAUACUGCAACAGAUAUGCCAGAACUGUGAGAGCUGCAGAGGAUUAACAAUGAACUUUUCUCUGCUCUUCUUUUUCUUCUUCAUUUUGCCAGGUCUUGGCUCUGCUGAAGUGAGGCUGAUCCAGAGCACAGAUAAAGACCAGUAUACUGUGGGAGAAUCUGCAACAUGUCAGUGUAAGAUCGCAUUUGAUACUGAGACUGUUGAGCUCUGUGAACUACAAUGGGUAACUAAACAUCCAGAGGAUAAAGGCAAAAUUUUAGAGAUGCAGAAUGCUGGAAAGUUUCUGGGUCGAGUUCGCAUCAACUCGAACGACACCCACAGCUUCAUGACACUGGAAAGCCUAACAACAAGCGACACAGAUUCUUUCCGCUGUCAUGCAAGGUGCAACGUGAAUCAAAAGUAUAAAAUCCUCUUUGGGAAUGAAAUCAAACUGACAGUAAAAGGUUUGUGUGGUUAUCUUCUUAUUCUAUAAAUUAAUAUUACUUCAUCUCUGCUGUAUCUGACAGUAUUUAAUUGGUCAUAUGUUAUUUACAUGUCUUAAUCCCUCUCUUAUUACAGAAGAACUCCAUGAACCUGCAAUACAGAAAUUUGAUUGGCUGCACUAUGUAAUCGUAGGCAUAAACGUGCUGCUCUUCAUUGCUGCCACCAUUGUGUGUGCCAUCAUUAUUCGAAAACGCAGGAAGAGAAGAAACUACGGCACUCAGUAAUUUGUUUUGCUUUGCAUACAUAAUAUGAAAACAUUGAUCUAUAGCUAAUUUUACUGGGAAUAUACCAGACCAAUUC